UACGUAGGGGGCAAGCGUUGUCCGGAAUCAUUGGGCGUAAAGAGCGUGUAGGCGGCCCGAUAAGUCCGCUGUGAAAGUCCAGGGCUCAACCCUGGAAUGCCGGUGGAUACUGUCGGGCUCGAAUCCGGAAGAGGUGAGUGGAAUUCCUGGUGUAGCGGUGAAAUGCGCAGAUAUCAAGAGGAACACCUGAGGUGAAGACGGGUUGCUGGGCCGACACUGACGCUGACAGCGCGAAAGCCAGGGGAGCAAACGGG
rnacentral:rRNA from 1 species